AGCUUUGCACAGUGACAGUAUCGUAGCCAAUGAGGUUUGUCCGAGGUGUGAUUAUUGCUAAUUGAAAACUUUUCCCAAUACCCCGCCAUGAUGACUUGAAAUAUAGUCAGUGUUGGCAAUUUUUGGCAGUCUCUACAGGAA
ensembl:snRNA U4 U4 spliceosomal RNA